UCUUCUUUACUUCUCUUUCUGCUUUUGUCCUAGUUAGGACAGCUGAGACCAGUUCAUCACUGGAUGGGUGUAACCCAAAACUGUGUAUUCUAUAGCCUUGCAUGCCAUUUCCCAGAAACU